AGGCUUUCCAAAGGAAGUCCUUGCCAAACCUGAUGCUUAAGAUAAAGAAACCACUUUGUGCAGUGGGGUACUUCCUUUCCUAUCAGCUCUACAUUGCAAGCCUGCAGUCAAUACCCUGCUGCACAUCAACGAUCCCUGGCCAGAAAAGACUUUUG
rnacentral:lncRNA from 12 species